rnacentral:rRNA from 1 species
UACGUAGGGACCGAGCGUUGUCCGGAAUCAUUGGGCGUAAAGAGCGUGUAGGCGGCUUGCUAAGUCCUGCGUGAAAUCUCGGGGCUCAACCCCGAGCGGUCGUGGGAAACUGGCAGGCUAGAGUGCGGGAGAGGAGAGUGGAAUUCCUGGUGUAGCGGUGAAAUGCGCAGAUAUCAGGGAAGAACACCCGUGGCGGAAAGGCGG